AUGUGGGGCAGGAUGACUAGAAUGGGCUUCAGUUGGGUAUUUCCCUUUCCCUAAGUCAGUUAGGUUCUGAUAAAACCCCAGCAGAUAAGGCUCUAGUUACACAGUUACACCUGUGGGCAGACGUUAAGAAGAACAGUGCUGAGAUAUUUCAAAAUGGUUCCUUUUCCUCUCUCCCUGCUGGAAGCUUGAGGAUUUUUCUCCUAUAUUUACUGUGAGAAUCUGGCUGAGCUCCUGGAGGUGAAACUCACAGUAGUGUGGUGGGCCCACCUAUGACUGGAUACUCUUGGAGUUUUUAAUUCUUGGACUUGUCCACAGUGAACCUCCAGCAAUUUGUCAGUUACAGUUGAAGUUUUCCUCUCCCGGGACCCGUUCUGGAGGAGGUUUCAGCUCUUGAGUUUUGCUUGGCCUAUGCUGAGCAAGGAACUAUUAUUAGUGUUGGUGAUACCAAAAUUUGAAGACAAAAUUGCCUGUCACUGUGGAGCUUCCAGAACCUGGUGGAGCUCCUGGAGGUAAACCUCACAAUAUUUUGGGGACUCUCCUAUGACUGAAUUCCCCUGGUGUCUUUAAUUUCUGACUUAUCCACACUGAGCCUUCAGCAAUUCAUCAAAUACACUUCAGGAUUUCCUACCCAGCACUGAUCCUGGCGUAGUUUCUGCGGGAAGAACACAUCACUCUGGAAACCAAAGGGUGGAAGCAGAAGCAGCCCCACUUCCCAAACUCCCAACGACUCACUGCAGAAUUUUGUCCUUCCUGUCCCUGUUCUUCUUGGUUCUGCAAGGUUGGAGGUCCUGGGUCCUACUCUUGCCAGGGGCCACAGAAAUGGUCCCAUUGGGAAUAAGCUAUGGAUGCCACCAGAGAAAUUUUGACUCUUUGUGUUCAGAGACCAGCAGGCAAGAGGAAGAGUCAACAUCUUGACAAGGUCAUUGACUCUGAUCGUCAAGACAAGACUUUUGGAAACACUUGGAGAGUUUCAAAAGCUCAUAGCAAGGUCUCGCCCCCCAACUAUCAAUCAUUGAGGAGCUUGGGUGGAGAGCUGCUCAUGAGUGUGUUAAAUGAUGAUUUUUUGGGUGCUGUAUCUGGCGAUGUCUUCUCUGAACUUUCUCAUGGUCAUGGUAUCAUCAUACAAUUAAAGAAACAGAGUGGGAAAAAUCCUUCACUUUCAGACCACUAGUAAAAAGUCACAGAGAUCUGAAAGGGAAUAUUGCCUGCAGAAAAUUGUGACCUGCUCUAUCCCACUUACACUAAAACAGUUCCAGCUCAGCAUGAUGGACACUCCACUCCAGGCAGCUGUGGCCAAGAAGAGGAGCCUUCUUCUCUCUCCUGCUCCUACUCAAGAGGCAGGCAGCUUAACAGAGAGAUCAGAGACAGCAGCUGAAUGAGAGCCUUGGUGAGAUGACUGUCACCACAUGGUGACUGUGGGUGACCCACUGCUGAUAUUUCUGAGGAGCAACAUCAUAGCCUUCCAAGUUCGGGGAAAAGACUUUACUAAAACAGUCAAGCUGAGUCACCAAACAAAUAAAUAAGCCAACAACUACAGCAACCUUGACAAGCCCCAGAAAAGGACAGUGGAAUGAGCAUUCAGAGUUGCUAAAUCAUAUCAUCCAAAAUGUCUAGUUUUCAACAAAACGUUAUGAGAAAUGAAAAAUAAAAAGUGUGAGCCAUCAAAGGGAAAAAAGCAGGCAACAGAAAUUGUGUGCAAGAAAAACCAAGACGUUAGAUUUAAAAAGUGUUCAACAAAGUGUUCAAAGUAGCUGUUAUGAAUAUCUUCAAAGAACCUAUGAAACUAUGCUUAAAGAAAUUAAAAAAAGAUAUGAUUGCAAUCUGUCAAGUAAAGAAUAUUACCGAAGAAAUAGAAAUUAUAAAAAAGAAUAAAAUACUGCU
ensembl:lncRNA